AUAAAAUUCCUUGUUGAUCCUCUUUUCCCUUGGUUACAGCCUCAUUUCCCCUAUCGCCAAGGCUCGAAGUUCAGUACUCUUGUCUCUUGUACACUUAGUCUCUUCCUGAUAUCACCCAGUCUCAUGGCUUUAAACCCCGCCUACCAGUAUAUGCUGACAUCUCCUCUUUUAUCUUCAGCCUAAAACUCCCCUUUGAACUACAGACUUGUAUAUCUAGCUGCUCUACAAAGCCUUGUCCUCUCUUCUUUACAUUUCAGUAAUGAUAAUGCCAUCUUUCCUAGAUUCUGAAGCCAAAAACCUUGGAGUCGAUCUUGAAGUUCUUUAUUUUACGUCCAGCCCUCACAUUCAAGUAUUUGCUCAAAUGUCAUCUUCUCUUUCUGGAGGCUGGGAAGUCCAAGAUCAAGCUGCCAACAGAUUUGGUGUCUGGUGAGGCUGCACACUCCAGAGGGGCAGAACGCUGUGACCUCACAUGGCAGAACUGAAGAGCAACCUAAGGACAAGGUGUGUAUGAUAAAGCAGUGGGAACCAGGCAAAGAAGAUCAUUAAAGCCCUUACCAGCCAAGGUAUGAAGUUUCCAUUUUAUUUUAUACAAAUGUCUAUUACAGAGUUAAGGAUUCCAGGUCAUUCCAUCUUCAUAUCACCUCUGAUACCUAACAUCAUGCCUGGAACACAGUAGGCCUCCUCUUUACACUUUCUAAACUGAUUUAAAAUAGUUUUUGUCAUCUCUAAGUGAUAAAAUCUGGGGAAAUAGAGUUAAAACUAAAGUUAAAUCUAAUACAUUUGCAAACAAAUUUCUUAUUUCCAUGUGUUUGCUUUCAUUAUUUUAAUACCCAAACAAACCCAGAUAUACAAGAAAAUGAGCUAUUACUUUUUCACUUUAAUUUUAUGUUUCUCCAUGGUGUAAACAUUUUAAAAAUCAACUUCAUAUACUUUUCCAAUUUAAAAAAGCUUAUGUUUUGUUAAUAAAGAAAAUAGAAGCCUAAAUAUUGAAGGUAAAAAGUGAUUUCCUCAUUAAUUUACAUUCCCUCUGAGAUUUAUUGCACAGUAAAUUAGUUAAUUGCAAACCUUCUAACAAUGUUUUACUCCAUUAUAGAUUACUUUGGAAAAACAAAUUUGAUUUUUCCCUCUUGAACAAUGAGUGGUUUAUUUUAAAGUAGGUGAAAGGUAAUGUGAAGGAAAAAAAAACCCAGCUUCACAGAUGUAUAGUUUAAAGUUUGCCAAGUACUUAGCAAAGGGUUACACUAACUUCAAACGGUUGGAAAGUAUAAUGUAAUGUGAGAACUCGAAGGUCUUGUUUCUCUUUCAGCUCCCAUUCUCACUCAGUCCCCUGCAAACCAUCGGCAUAAAGAGCAAAGUUUCAGAGAUCACAUCCUCUAGUGGAGAGCAAAUGAACAAAAGGGGAAAGAGAGACGCGAUGAAUUGCACGUGCGCUAUUAUAUUUGCAAGCGGGUUACAUUGUCCUUGGAUAAGAAUUUUAUAUUCCCCGUGAGUCGGAGACUCUGUGCUCUGAAUUAUGUUGCUCAAUUCAAGCGAUGAUCCAAGGCCAAUGACAGUAUACCAAGCUAUCAUUUCUUGGCAGGUCGAAUAGUCAUGUGUAUAUUUUAUGUUCCUUAUAAAAGUUAGGCGAUAUAAAUAUUGGUGAUAUGAAAGUUGAUAUUUUACAUAAAUUGUCAAUUGCUAGUCAAACACGUCAAGGUUUUUUCUUUAUGUGGUGGGGCUUUAAAAUCUCAGCAGGGAGUUCUUUGAGUUUGAAGUGUCUCCCCUAAGCUUUCCAUUUCAGACACUGUUUUUUUCCAAAACAGGUCUCAGUGUGUUGGUGUUUCCAAAGUGCAGAUGAUUCCUGUUCUUAUUUUGUGGCUGUUCUUGCAGAAUGCUAUCAGCCCCAGAUCUAGGGUAGAGGACAGGCUUGAUUGGAGCCUUUGCCUGUUACAAUGCAUGAUUCCACCACAGGCCAGCUGUGACCAUUCCGCCCAGUGACAGCGUGGUUGUCUUUCCUCAUAGGUGAAGGAGGUGACUUCUUAUGGGACAUGAUUUCUGAAGCAGAAGUUUACCUGAGGUUCCUGGAAGAAAUGUUUUCCCCACCUGUUGGCUCCCUGAGUAUUAACAUGCCAGAUGCAAAGCUUCAUUCAUUCUAUUAAAAUGCAAAUGAGCCCAACAGUGUAGUAAAACAGUUUGCUGCUAGAAGUUAUUUACAAUAUUCUAAGAGUAACGCUCUUAUUCACCCUAAGCACAGGUUUUAAUAAAAAGUGGAAGGGAUCGCAAGGGUAUUGAGAUCUCAGCAAGAGAAGGAAAGGGAAAAGGUUGUUUAAAAACAACAUUAAUAGAAGACAUACCGUAUAGAGAGAAAAACGCAGACUGUGCAUGUUCAAGAUAACUUUCAUUACAAUUUUGCCUAAGCCAGGGUGAAUGCAAAUGUUUCAGUUUUAACAGACUGGAUCAUUCAUUCAAAAAGCAUUUAUUGAGUGCCUUCUCAAAAAAGAAUGAUAAUUAGAUUUUUUAAGUUAUAAAGAAAAUAUAAAACCAAAACUGGAGAAAUAUACGCCAACAUUUUUCCAAUGGUUCCGUUGUCAAAGUAGAAUUAGAAUGUAAGUGCAGAGUUAAAUUCCAUUGUCUAUCAAGAAGUAAUUGUAAAGGAGCUAUGUCUAAAAAUGUAUCUUUUCAGUGAUUUUUGUUCUGAACAAUCUUCUGCCUCAAAUACAUUUUGGAUCUAUGA